UUUACCCUUCUUCCUUAGUGCACCAUCAUUUCCUUUAAGUUUUCUUUGUCUCCAUUCUCUCUGUCACUGUCUUUUCUCCACCAGAAAGGUAUGAAGAAACAAAAGUUUUUCUUCUGAAUUUUUUUCUUUUCUGUGCGAUUUGUUGUUCUCAAAUAGUGUUUUUGCCAUAAAAAAGAACGAGGUUUUUGUGUCAAAAACACUUUUGAUGUAAA